AUUGAACGCUGGCGGCAGGCCUAACACAUGCAAGUCGAGCGGAUGAGGGUAGCUUGCUACCUGAUUCAGCGGCGGACGGGUGAGUAAUGCCUAGGAAUCUGCCCGAUAGUGGGGGACAACGUUUCGAAAGGAACGCUAAUACCGCAUACGUCCUACGGGAGAAAGUGGGGGAUCUUCGGACCUCACGCUAUCGGAUGAGCCUAGGUCGGAUUAGCUAGUUGGUGAGGUAAUGGCUCACCAAGGCUACGAUCCGUAACUGGUCUGAGAGGAUGAUCAGUCACACUGGAACUGAGACACGGUCCAGACUCCUACGGGAGGCUGCAGUGGGGAAUAUUGGACAAUGGGCGAAAGCCUGAUCCAGCCAUACCGCGUGUGUGAAGAAGGUCUUCGGAUUGUAAAGCACUUUAAGUUGGGAGGAAGGGCUGUAGGCUAAUAUCCUGCAGUUUUGACGUUACCAACAGAAUAAGCACCGGCUAACUUCGUGCCAGCAGCCGCCGUAAUAC
rnacentral:rRNA from 1 species